rnacentral:rRNA from 1 species
UACGAAGGGGGCUAGCGUUGCUCGGAAUCACUGGGCGUAAAGCGCACGUAGGCGGACUCUUAAGUCGGUGGUGAAAUCCUGGAGCUCAACUCCAGAACUGCCUUCGAUACUGAGAGUCUCGAGUCCGGGAGAGGUGAGUGGAACUGCGAGUGUAGAGGUGAAAUUCGUAGAUAUUCGCAGGAACACCAGUGGCGAAGGCGGCUUACUGGUCCAUUACUGACGCUGAGGUGCGAAAGCGUGGGGAGCAAACAGG